CACCCGGCGUGCCCGUGAAGCGGAGAAGAGCCUGCGGAGUGGCGGCAGGUCGCUCACGGAAGACACAUCGCGGAGAAGAGCCUGUGAAGUGGCGGCAGGUCGCGUGUGUAACCAUGGAACAGAUUAUUAAGGGGAACUGACGUUACUGU
rnacentral:lncRNA from 1 species